GGUCUGGCUGAGUGGUCUACCGAUUUGGUAAGCUUACUGCUCAUUUUGCUGGAUUCUUUUUUACUUUUGGGAUGUCCCCUUGCCCUUUAGUGGGUGAGGGAAACAGACCAAAACUUUUACUUUGAAAAAAUUAGAGUGUUCAAAGCAGGCUUUUCUUAAGCUUGAAUAUCUUAGCAUGGAAUAAUAGAAUAGGACUUUGGUUCUAUUUUGUUGGUUUAUUGAACCAAGGUA
rnacentral:rRNA from 1 species